rnacentral:ribozyme from 2 species
AGUCGUUUGAGCGACUUAAAAUAGGUUUUAAGCUCAAAGCGCCCCGAUAAUAAUCGGGAGUAACA